AUGGCAGAGGGGGUGAUUCUUUUAGCGGUGACGAAGAUUGGCACUGCUCUGGGAAAUGAAGUGAUAAACAAAGCUGGUCCGCUGUUCAGAAACUUCAAAGCACAGGUAGGAGAACUCCAAGGUGGAAUGAGCCGUAUAAGUUGCGAGCUCAGGCUGAUGCAUGAGUUUCUUUGUACGAUGGAUAUACGCAAUCGGAAGGACCAAGUAUAUGGAAUUUGGAUGGAGGAAGUGCAGAAAGUAGCACACCGGAUUGAGGACAUAGUAGAUGAGUAUCUAUUCCUGGUAGGGCAGAGACAUGACAUUGGAUGGAGGUUUUAUCUGAUGAAAGGAUUCAAGCAACCAGAAGCUUUGCUUUCUUUAAACCGGAUAGUCUCUCUGAUAAAGGAAGCAGAGGCCAGUCUUCUGCACCUCUUCCAAGCAAAAGACCGAUGGGUUCCAAUGGCAAACAACGGCCCUGCUGAUAACUCUGGCUAUAUUGUUGAGAGGUCCCAACAUCUUGCAAGCACUUCUCAUUCUAUUAGUGAUGAAGAUCUUGUGGGGGUUGAGAAAAACAAAAAAGACCUACUGGAGUGGCUAACAGUAACAGAUAAUGAGAUGGAAGGCUCUACAGUAGUACUGUAUGGCAUGGGAGGCCUUGGCAAAACUGCUCUAGCUGCAAAUGUGUAUAAACAGCAGAGAGAAAACUAUGACUGUCAUGCAUGGGUAUCUGUCUCACAAACAUAUUCGCCAAUAGAUCUCUUGUGGAAACUAUUUAAGGAACUUCAUCGUGAUGGGGAAACUGCUCCGACCGAGAUCAAUACAAUGGACUUGAUCUAUAUAAAAGGUAAACUCAGCAAGUUUCUAGAGCAAAAGAAAUACCUGAUUGUGCUGGACGAUGUCUGGAAACAGGAAGCAUUCAAUGAUUUGCUAGGAGGACUUGCCCCAAAUACUAAAGGAAGCAGAAUAGUCAUUACGACGCGCAAUGACGAUAUAGCUAAGCUGGCGUCCGAAGGACGUGCACUAAAAAGUGAAUGCUUGCCAUAUGAUGAGUCAAGGUUACUCUUCUGUAAAAAAGCUUUUCGGAUGGAUGAUUGCCCUGCCGAGCUGGAGGUCCACACAAAGGAGAUAGUGGAUAAAUGUAAUGGUUUGCCCCUUGCUAUUGUCUCGGUUGGAAGUCUCUUGUUUGUGCGCGAGAAGAAUCCAACAGAAUGGAAACGAAUCCAUGACCAGCUAGGUUGGGAGCUAGCGCAUAACCCAGGGCUUGAUGAUGUGAGGAAUACUUUGUAUUUGAGCUUCAUAUACCUUCCUACAUACCUGAAGAGUUGUUUUCUGUACUGUGCCUUGUUUCCAGAGGACUGCACUCUUCACAGGAAGGUGCUCAUCAGACUAUGGAUUGCAGAGGGGUUCAUUGAGGAAAGGGGUCAUAGUACAUUGGAAGAAGUUGCAGAAGGCUAUUUGAACGAGCUUGUCCACAGAAAUAUGCUGCAGCCUCUGGAAUGCAACUCAUUUGGCAGAAUAAGAUCUUUCAAAAUGCAUGACAUUGUUCGUGAGUUGGCAAUUGAUUUAUCCCAGAAAGGAAGUUUUGGUCUUGCAUAUGAGUAUGGGAAUCAUGGUAUCCUGGACACAAACACUCGUCGCUUGGUUGUAUCUAAAUGCAGCACUGAUAUUUUGUCACAUUUACAGCUACCUCGUCUUAGAUCUUGCAUCAUAUUUGAUAAGGCCAUGCCAUCAUCCAGAAUACUUGAUUCUGUAGCAGAUAAGUCUAAGUACAUUGUAGUCCUGGAACUACGUGGCUUGUCGUCCAUUGAGCAAGUACCAAGUGCUGUUGGGUGUCUUUUUAAUCUGCGUUAUUUUGGAUUGCGCGAUUCAAAGGUGAAGAUCCUCCCAAAGUCUAUCGAGAAGCUCUCCAACUUGUUGACAUUGGAUAUUUUCAACAAUAUGAUACAAGAAUUGCCUCAUGGGAUUGUCAAGCUGAAGAACUUAAGGCACUUACUUGUUGAGAGAAUUGUAGAUCCGUCACAUCGAGCUUUUAUAUGUCGCCAUGGUAUGCGCAUCCAGAAGGGUCUAUCAAAUUUGACUAAUUUGCAGACGCUGAAUACAAUUGAAGCACGAGAAGAUUCUAUUAAAGAGCUGGGGGAGCUGAAGCAACUAAGGAGCUUGAGGAUAAGUAACCUGAAGGAAACCCACUGUGCGCUUUUUUGCAAGUCCCUCUUGAAGAUGCAACUCUUGAAUCAAUUACAUAUUACCAUGAGUGACAAGGAUGGAAUUCUUCAGUUGAAUGAGCUGAAAACCCCACCCCUCAACCUUCAGAAACUCAUUCUAAGAGGGAGAUUGGCAGAAGAGACAUUUCAGUCUCCUCUUUUCCAGAAAGGAGGAAAGAAGCUAUGUGGACUAUAUCUUGUUUGGUCGUGUCUGCCAGAAGAUCCCCUCCCAUCCAUCUCAGGAUUGGAUAACCUGACAGAGCUGCAUCUUACAGAAGCAUUCGUCGGGAAAAAAUUAACAUUCAAUAAGGGAUGGUUCCCCAAUUUGAAGUCUCUGAAACUGCGUGACUUGCCUUCUCUAAAUAAGCUAAAGAUAAAGAAAGGUGCCAUGGCAAGCCUCCAUAUUUUGCAGCUAGUGAACCUGAGAAAAUUGAAGGAUGUUCCAGCUGGCCUUGAGUUUCUUACAACCCUCCAAAGUCUAAGUUUUCUCCAUAUCACUGAAGAGUUCCUUGUGUUGCUGAAUGAAUAUUCUGGGAUUAAGGAGAUCCCGGUGUGGUAUUCUAUAGAAGAUCAGCCUGUGACAAGGAAAUGA
rnacentral:rRNA from 1 species